AGUCGAGCGGAUGACAGGAGCUUGCUCCUGAAUUCAGCGGCGGACGGGUGAGUAAUGCCUAGGAAUCUGCCUGGUAGUGGGGGACAACGUUUCGAAAGGAACGCUAAUACCGCAUACGUCCUACGGGAGAAAGCAGGGGACCUUCGGGCCUUGCGCUAUCAGAUGAGCCUAGGUCGGAUUAGCUAGUUGGUGAGGUAAUGGCUCACCAAGGCGACGAUCCGUAACUGGUCUGAGAGGAUGAUCAGUCACACUGGAACUGAGACACGGUCCAGACUCCUACGGGAGGCAGCAGUGGGGAAUAUUGGACAAUGGGCGAAAGCCUGAUCCAGCCAUGCCGCGUGUGUGAAGAAGGUCUUCGGAUUGUAAAGCACUUUAAGUUGGGAGGAAGGGCAGUAACUUAAUACGUUGCCGUCUUGACGUUACCGACAGAAUAAGCACCGGCUAACUCUGUGCCAGCAGCCGCGGUAAUACAGAGGGUGCAAGCGUUAAUCGGAAUUACUGGGCGUAAAGCGCGCGUAGGUGGUUUGUUAAGUUGGAUGUGAAAGCCCCGGGCUCAACCUGGGAACUGCAUUCAAAACUGACAAGCUAGAGUAUGGUAGAGGGUGGUGGAAUUUCCUGUGUAGCGGUGAAAUGCGUAGAUAUAGGAAGGAACACCAGUGGCGAAGGCGACCACCUGGACUGAUACUGACACUGAGGUGC
rnacentral:rRNA from 1 species